CAUGCAAGUCGAGCGGAAACGAGAAUAGCUUGCUAUUCGGCGUCGAGCGGCGGACGGGUGAGUAAUGCUUGGGAAUAUGCCUAAUGGUGGGGGACAACAGUUGGAAACGACUGCUAAUACCGCAUAAUGUCUACGGACCAAAGGAGGGGAUUCUUCGGAACCUUUCGCCAUUUGAUUAGCCCAAGUGAGAUUAGCUAGUUGGUAAGGUAAAGGCUUACCAAGGCGACGAUCUCUAGCUGGUUUGAGAGGAUGAUCAGCCACACUGGGACUGAGACACGGCCCAGACUCCUACGGGAGGCAGCAGUGGGGAAUAUUGCACAAUGGGCGAAAGCCUGAUGCAGCCAUGCCGCGUGUGUGAAGAAGGCCUUCGGGUUGUAAAGCACUUUCAGCGAGGAGGAAAGGGUGUAGACUAAUACUCUGCAUCUGUGACGUUACUCGCAGAAGAAGCACCGGCUAACUUCGUGCCAGCAUCCGCGGUAAUACGAGGGGUGCAAGCGUUAAUCGGAAUUACUGGGCGUAAAGCGUGCGUAGGUGGUUUGUUAAGCAAGAUGUGAAAGCCCCGGGCUCAACCUGGGAACUGCAUUUUGAACUGGCAAGCUAGAGUAUUGUACAGGGUAGUGGAAUUUUCAGUGUAGCGGUGAAAUGCGUAGA
rnacentral:rRNA from 1 species